rfam:Myotis davidii contig196490, whole genome shotgun sequence.
GGCUGUUCUCAGGUGAUGCACAUGGGAAUCGGGCUCCCUCCUCUCUGGUUCUGGGGUGGGUCACCAGAGAACCACC